rnacentral:rRNA from 1 species
UACGAAGGGUGCAAGCGUUAAUCGGAAUUACUGGGCGUAAAGCGUGCGUAGGUGGUUUGUUAAGUCUGCUGUGAAAGCCCUGGGCUCAACCUGGGAAUGGCGGUGGAUACUGACAAGCUAGAGUGCGGUAGAGGAGGGUGGAAUUCCCGGUGUAGCGGUGAAAUGCGUAGAGAUCGGGAGGAACAUCAGUGGCGAAGGCGGCCCUCUGGACCGGUCCUGACGCUGAGGCGCGAAAGCGUGGGGAGCAAACAGG